UGGGGAAUAUUGCGCAAUGGUCGAAAGACUGACGCAGCGACGCCGCGUGGAGGAUGAAGCCCUUCGGGGUGUAAACUCCUGUUGCUCGGGACGAAUGCCCCUUUCGAGGGGAUUGACGGUACCGAGUGAGGAAGCACCGGCUAACUCUGUGCCAGCAGCCGCGGUAAUACAGAGGGUGCGAGCGUUGUCCGGAAUCACUGGGCGUAAAGGGCGCGUAGGCGGCUUGGUAAGCGUGCGGUGAAAGCUCGAGGCUCAACCUCGAGUCUGCCGUGCGAACUGCCAGGCUGGAGCACGGUAGAGGCACAUGGAAUUCCGGGUGUAGCGGUGGAAUGCGUAGAGAUCCGGAAGAACACCGGUGGCGAAGGCGGUGUGCUGGGCCGUAGCUGACGCUGAGGCGCGACAGCGUGGGGAGCAAACAGGAUUAGAUACCCUGGUAGUCCACGCCGUAAACGAUGGGCACUAGGUCCUUGGGGGAGCGACCCCUUGA
rnacentral:rRNA from 1 species